rnacentral:rRNA from 1 species
CCUACGGGUGGCAGCAGUGAGGAAUAUUGGUCAAUGGGCGCGAGCCUGAACCAGCCAAGUCGCGUGAAUGAAGACUGCCCUACGGGUUGUAAACUUCUUUUUUAAAGGAGUAAAGGCGGGCACGUGUGCCUUUACGUUUCGACGUUAUCAAACAGGAACGGCUCACUCCGUGCCAGCCGCCCCGGGAAUAAGGAGGAUCCGAGCGUUAUGCGGAUUUAUUGGGUUUAAAGGGAUGGCAAGGGGGUUUUUAUGUUAGAUGUGAAAGUUUGCGGUUCAACCGUAGCAGUGCAGUUGAUACUGGCAGUCUUGAGUGCAGAAGAGGUAGGCGGAAUUCGAGGUGUAGCGGUGAAAUGCGUAGAUAUCACGAAGAACUCCGAUUGCGAAGGCAGCUUACUGGUCUGCAACUGACGUUGAGGUUCGAAAGUGUGGGUAUCAAACAGGAUUAGAUACCCGUGUAGUC